GGCUCGGUAGCUUAGUUAGUAAGCGCUUGUCUAGCAUACAAGAGUCCUGGGUUCGAAUCCCAGCCGAGCAC
rnacentral:tRNA from 1 species